rnacentral:rRNA from 1 species
AUUGAACGCUGGCGGCAGGCCUAACACAUGCAAGUCGAGCGGAUGAAGGGAGCUUGCUCCUGGAUUCAGCGGCGGACGGGUGAGUAAUGCCUAGGAAUCUGCCUGGUAGUGGGGGAUAACGUCCGGAAACGGGCGCUAAUACCGCAUACGUCCUGAGGGAGAAAGUGGGGGAUCUUCGGACCUCACGCUAUCAGAUGAGCCUAGGUCGGAUUAGCUAGUUGGUGGGGUAAAGGCCUACCAAGGCGACGAUCCGUAACUGGUCUGAGAGGAUGAUCAGUCACACUGGAACUGGGACACGGACCAGACGCCUACGGGAGGCAGCAGUGGGGAAUAUUGGACAAUGGGCGAAAGCCUGAUCCAGCCAUGCCGCGUGUGUGAAGAAGGUCUUCGGAUUGUAAAGCACGUUAAGUUGGGAGGAAGGGCAGUAAGUUAAUACCUUGCUGUUUUGACGUUACCAACAGAAUAAGCACCGGCUAACUUCGUG